UUCUUACCGAGUUAUAUGAACUAGAUCCAUGCACGUAAAACUGCGGGACAAGAUAUCUUUUAACUCAUUAAAACUGCCUUUUGUUACAACUGAAAUCCACUCUGUCCAGCACCCGUGAUUUGGUCUCGACUCUCCAGUAUUUAAACACUAACACGAGGCAUCCAUGGAAUGAGAUCCUUGCUCAGUAAUGCUCAGCAAUGACAUCUAUCCAGAUUUUCAAUGUUUUAAGCAAAACAACAGCUGAAGAAGAAGGGAACCAUGAAGAGGAGCUUGGAGUGGGCAAGGGAGAGGCUGAUAAAGCAGCAAAGACCUGAUUCAUCAAGUAUCACAGUUAAUUCCGGUGAUUCUCACCUGGUUGGCAUGCACAACACCGCAAGGCAAAACUUCUUCAGCCACCUUAGGAUGGAGUGCCACUGGUUGUUAUGACUGCUGUGUCUGUGUGGGUGUGUACCAAGAAAGGACGUUAGAAGUUUGGUCCCCAUGAUUUCAAAGCUUCUUACCAUCUCCACUACAGCCCAGUCGAUAUCGAUUUUAAAAACUGGAACAAUAGAUAUCGUGUAGCACAUGGUAGAAAAUUCACUGGACCAACUCCUAUCCAAUGCCUAUUGUCCCAACAAAUUUGUCAAUUAUGCAUUUUACACAUGUCAGAGUGCGUUUUCUUUUAUAGCUCUGCUUUCAACACCAUCCUGACCCACAAACUUGUUAGCAGACUCAGGCCUCUGGGUGUAAAUCCUGUAAAAACAUAUUCAAAAAGUAGAUGGUGAGACUUAAAGACCAUUCUCCCAUAUAGGGUACAUUGACAUGGAGAUGAUCAGCAGCUUCAAGUUCCUGGGCACCCUGAUAUCCUUUUCACCCUUAGUCACUUCACUCAAAAAGUCCCACCAGUGCUUCUCCACUACCCUCAUCAACUUGCUGCACCACGACCUAUGUACCAACUACAGCAGGUGUGGGUAAUUCCAGUCCUCGAGGGCCUGAUUGGCGUCAGUUUUACCACAGCCCCAGCUAACACAACUGACUUCAAUAAUCACCUAAUCAUGAUCUUCAGUUUGGAAUGCAAUUUGAUUAAUCAGCUGUGUUUGGUAGGGAUGGAGAAAGAGUGUGACACCAAUCAGGCCCUCGAGGACUGGAGUUGCCCACCGAUGAACCACAGGGUCUGUUUUUAUUGCCAUAACACGUGUAAAUUAAAUGUUGUCCAUAUUUACUGUAAGAUUUAUGUUAACAUUGCACAUAUUGUAAUAUUAUAGCCCCUUGACAUUCAUGACUUAACUACUUUGCAUAAUGCCCAGUCUACCCACUCUAAGAAAUCAUACAUUUAUUAAAAUAUUAAAGCU